AUACUUACCUGGCGUAGGAAUACCGUGAUCAUGCAGGCUGUUCCCCCAGGGUGAGGCUGCUCCAUUGCACUGCGGAGUGGUUGACCCUUGCGAUUAUUCUUAUUUUUUAUAAGUUACACUUCAACCGUGUGUGACUUGCACACACACACAUUUUUGUGGUAGAGAGAUUCUGUACGUUUAGUUUUUGA
rnacentral:snRNA from 9 species